GUCAAUAAAGGUAUUUUGCAAUAACAAAUAACAACAAAUAUGACUACAUGAACUAUCGCAACAUAUUAUCACUACACAUGGUGAUUAUUUUUCUUUUUGAACUGUCAGGUUAAUUUUAUACUUUUUACAUCUUAAAACAGUUAAAUCAUGUCAAGAUCUGCAAAAGACCUUGCAUGGCAACAUGGGGUCAGACUUGAUCCCAACAAAAAAAAUAAAAUUAUUUGUAAUUACUGUCAAAGAGUGAUAAGUAGUGGG
rnacentral:lncRNA from 1 species